UCGGCGGCGGGGUGAGGAGGGGGCGCUCGGCGCGCAUGCGCACUGAGGCGCUCGGCCGUCGCUCGGUGCCCGUCGCCUCAGCGCUGUGAGGAGGCCGCGCUGUGAGUAGGCCGCGCCGUUAUCCCUUAUGGAGCGGCUCCUGUUGGACCUCAGUGAGGAAUAAGCUCGAUAUUUCAACAAAGUCCUGCACGUUGGAAGCAAAAGUGAGGAAAUAAAGGAGAAAAGCUGCUUAUUUUUCUGCCUAGAUGUGGGAGAAAAUGGAGGCCCGGAGGCUCAGCGCCUCACACAGUGCUGAGGGGGGAAUAUGGGGCCUGUGGGCCGCCAUAGAACUGGCUGAGCUCAAUGGGAGGACAGGCAGCAUCAGCAGGCCCAUGUCUCCAUAGAGGUAGGGGUGAGCUGACACACACAGCCCUCCAUGUCUUCAAACCCCAUCAGAGGCUGCUUUGAUUCCAGCUGAGCACUGCGAUAGGUGAGAAGCACCAUUAGGGUGUAAUAAAUCCUCACAGUCCCGCUGCCUCGCACCCACACGCUGCCCUUUACCCUUAUAAAGCAACAGAGAUAAAACCAGGUGCUUCCCUGCUUUGGUGCAUCACCCCGAGCAGCCCUUCCUCCUGUAACCCAACCCUGAGCUGGGAUAUCAGAGCAAAGAAAUCAGGCGCUGCUCUCACUUCCACUAUCGAUCACCUCCGCGGCCCCGUUUUAGUGGGUUUAUCAGCUGCUGAUAAGCACUUCCUGCCCACGUAAAAAUAGAUUGUAAUUAUCCACCCGCUGCAAGGAGAUGGAUGGAUGGAUGGAUGAAAGUCAGCUCAGCAACCAUCAGUGCCAAAAGAUUAAGUGCCUGAGAUGAAACUUGAUAAAUUCUCCCCUCUUGGAUCUCAGAAGAUUGAAGAGAGUGAAAUCUCCCCUCUGACGGCUCUCCAGCUCUGGAUCCUUCGGAAUUGCUCUGGCAGAUGAGAUCCAGCUACUUCCGUAUUCUCCCUUAGAGGCUCCAGAGGAAGGUGUGAGGUUGAGCAGCUUACACAACAGCACGGCAGUGCGAUCCACAAGUAAGCUGACCUUUUUUGUGUGUGCCUUUGCUUACAGACACCGAGAUUUCGAUCUCUCGCACUUCCUACUUAAUGUUCCUGUUGACUGACGUUCCCAUUAUCCUCAAAGAAUAUCCUGUGAACUCCACAGAGCCCGGAGUUGCGGCGUUAUUCUGAACUAAGCCCCAACUUUUGCUUUCGGUGGGAGAACACUUUGUUUCACCCAACAUUUCUCCUGUUUCUUUCAUGUAACAGAUCCUUGCUUCCAGAGGGCAGCACCUGAAUUAGCCCCUCUGCACCGUGCAUCAAAUCUGAUGAGCAGCCCAAGCAAACCAAACUGCAGUCACAUGGAACACUUGGCUCUGCUCUGCUGCAAUGAGUUUGGGGAGAUCCUUGCUCUGAGCACCAGUAUUCCCAGAAAGAAAGCAAACACUGGCUGCUGAAAGAUAUUAUUCUCAUUUCUACAAGGCUUAUCUUCUGGUGCUCUAUAAUACCUUGGCAACCCCACAGAGGAUUCUGGUCUGGUUAUUUUUCCCAGAAUCAAGGCCUGGCUUCAUGCCACACUGAAGCAAGAAGUAUUCCCAUGAUGCUAAGGUGAUAUGAGCUGAUAAAGCAGCAGCCACUUUUUGUCCUUCCAAAGAUAACCCUUGAAUAGGAGGCAAAGCUUUCAAUGCAGGUAUGCUCACAGUCAGCACUCAAAGGUGAGGCACCCCUAAGAUUUAUGUGCUUUAUUGAAACGAACAGGAAACAGGGAAAUACUUUUUAACUGCUGAGAGAUUACAGCAUUCACAUCAGAAGGGUAGAUCUCUCUGCUGCUACCUCUAAGCAGAAACGCGCUACAGCAAAAAUAUAGUACUAUUAACCACUUAUUUCAUUCAUGGCUAAUAGGCUUCACACAGUUAACUACCUGCCUACUUCUCUGAUUUAUAUCCCUGCGUAAAACCAACCCCUGCUAUUUCCAGGCCUUAAGACAUAUGUUAAUCUGGAAGUUAAAGGCUCAUCUUAUGCAUUUUUAUGCUGAAGAUAUUAAAAAGGGUGAGGGAAAAUCUGUUUGCAGAUACUGAUAAUGUUUGCAUGAAAACUCAAUGACCAGUGAGACAAACACACCAGUCAAAUUCAGGCACCUCUUGAGUUUCAAUCAUUUCAGUAGAGCAGGAGUGCCACAAAAAGUCCAUUCCACAGCAGGUGAGUAAGCAGCCCCCACAGCAGUCUCACUUUGCUGGUUCCUGUGACUGAUUUUGUUCUCUUUGCCCUACAUGAGAUCAUCACAGAUUGCUCUAUGGGGACUGCCUUCCUGGGGCAGCAGCAGCAGCAGCACACUGUAACCAAAGCUUUUCUCCUGUGAUGCAGCAUUUCUAAGAAGUUCCUUUCACUUCUUGGAUGGGAGCAGCCAGUCGUUCACUCCAACUCUAAUUGCUGCUGUGCAUAAUCCCCAGAAGGAAUGUAACAACUUGUUUCUCACUGUGAAAAUGGCAGGUUCUCCACUGCAAGCUUUAAGCCUUUGGCUGAAUACCUGCCGGGCAUCUUGCCUGGGGUCAGGGUUUGUUCUUAUGGUCGUCCAUGCCUUGCUACAACGGGUGGACACUCUGCUAGAUUAACACUACCAAAAGAAGCGGGGCGGACAGAGUCCCUUCCUUUCUCCUCUUACCCCCAUUAAGUGCAGCAGCUGCAGCCUGAAAGAACACACCAGUCUUUCAGAAAGAUUCAGAUACCAGAAGAAAAAGCCUGAAGCACAGCAUGGCCCUAUAGACAGCAGAGAGAGGCUGCUGCAAGCAGCACGGGACAUGUGCCCCAGGAUGAACAGUGCAUAAGUGAGCAUAUGUAUGCACAUGGGGAGCAUCUCCACUCCCCAAAAUACUAAACCUGAAUCCCUUUUACCUGAUAAAUGCUUUGAUUUUCUUCCUAAUAGCAAGCACAUGCGUUUGGCACAAGAAAGUUUUCAUCAUGUGAGAUCUCCAAAGCAUGCAAAAUGAAGGUCCAGGCAUGCUAACUGCACCACAGGGCAAAUUUCUCUUUUCCAAACCUCAGCAAGAUUCAUACAUUCCUUCUAAACCCACUUGUGAACCGCUUUCCUGAAGGCACUAAUACUGAAUGCAGGUAUUGAUAGUGCCAAGCAGUAAACCUGCACCUAUAAGGAGCCACGUAGUUCAACCAGAGCCCACAGAGAGGGGAAAAUAACCAAGCAACCAAAGGAAAAAGGAUGCAGUUAAAGCAAACAAUUGCAAACCUUAUUUGAGACACAGUCUGAUUAGAACCACCAGACAACCACAUGUAAAAUGGGGUUUUUAGUGCAAUUUCAAAGCAUUGUGACCGGAAGACGUAGAUCAAAAAUGUUACAUCCAUCUAAAAGGAUAAAUUCAGCUCUAGGCACUCCGGUGUUAAUGUACUGCAACUCCAGUGACUUCAAAGGGAUUGCUGCCGAUAGAAAGCAGUGCAGCCAGAAGCACUGGCUGGGAGCCUGCAUAAACAAGCAAAAAAAAAGAUUUUCAUUUUUUAAGAAGCCAUAAAAAAUAGUUGGAGCUAAUUACGUGACAGGGGCCUGGGUGUGAAACAGUAAUGGCAAAGCCUCAGGGAUCAAGACAGGAACAUUCGCUCCCUUCAGCUUAUGAAUACUUUUGCUCUAACAGUUUUUCUUCUUCCCAUUGCAAGCUGCACACACUGCUGCGAUGCUGCACUCCAGAGGCCCCCACCGUUGCUCUGUACUGAAUCUCAACCCUUUGUCUUACAAUCUGAGGCUGAUUUCAGGUUGCAGAGCUAAAGCAGCAGCUGUCUCCAAGCAGAAAGCCCAUUUUGUGUUCACCUUCUGGAGCCGCAGCUGAAAUCACGACCACCCCAUGAGCAAAGUUUCAAACUUCCCUCUGAAGCUCCCUGAAGUUGAAAUAUUAAUCUGGAAAGCACUGAACGUGUGUUUCUGAAGCUCAGUUAUUAGUUUGGAACGGGAAACAAAAGUUCUGGAGCCCGCAGGCUGCCACCGUAUCUACUCAGUAUUAAAAUGCAAAGCAGAAUCUACGCUGCCUCUGCAGAAAAAAUAACUAAGAAAGAAAUAUCUGUGUUCCAUUCGUGCUCCCAGGUGAAAUGUAAGAUAACCGAGCCCUCCUAGGAAGGCCCUGAUAGCAGCUCUGCUCCCUCACCCGCCUGACAUGCUGACACACCCAGGCUAGACAGUAAAUUUAUUCAACCACAUUAAUUUCUCCUGUUCCUUAAGUCGCAAGUGGUGAAAUCUCAUUCAUUUAUGCAAGCAACUGGAAGAUUUAUUGUAAAUAAAAGUUCUGCACAUUACACAACUGGCUCAAAAUCAUAAUUAGAGUUGCACUGGGAAACAUGUUUUAUUUAUUCUGACAGUAGUCUGGCUUCAAUAAUCAUAGCAUGAUAAAUGCUCCUGAAGUUUGCAGAGUUUCAGCAACUCCAGAGCUUAUCACAGACGUGGAAGUGAAAACAUCUGAAUAGGUUUGAUGUGGCUCACAAGAGGUCCUGAACACUUCUGUUGUAUAGCAUCAUUUUACAUCAGCACCAGGCUACCAAGAGCUGGUGGGAGUGUCCUCCUUCACUGUAAAUCAAAGAAAUGAGAUGUUCUGCUGCUUCUAAACUUCCGAGACCUCCUCCCGAAAGCUGGGCCAUGUCUGCACGAAUUAGUGAGGUUCUGCUGUGGGGAGAAAUGACAGUCGGAUUGCCGAGCCGACAGACCCUCUGGAAAAGGGUCAGUGACACCAUUAAUAGGAUGCAGACAUUCCCCAUCUCUAGCUGUUCUGCACCCUGCCAAGAGUUCUAGUGCUUUCUUCCUUUAUAGUUUCAAGCACAAUUUCAGGCCCAUAAAACAUCUGAGAAGACAGAAGCUCUUACCCCAGCCCUGACAGCAGCCCAUGACAGGACACGCACACUGCGAAUAACUUGAACUAAUGAUGCUGUGCUCUCACUGGUCUCCAUCUGUUCAAGGGUAUUUUAAAACAUACCAAAUCAGGUUUACCCCGGUGGCAUUUACUGCUGCUCUGAGACUAAUAAAUGGCUCUGAGUGCAAUCAAA